UACGUAGGGACCAAGCGUUGUUCGGAUUUACUGGGCGUAAAGGGCGCGUAGGCGGCGUGGUAAGUCAGUUGUGAAAUCUCUGAGCUUAACUCAGAACGGGCAAGUGAUACUGCUGUGCUAGAGUGCAGAAGGGGCAAUCGGAAUUCUUGGUGUAGCGGUGAAAUGCGUAGAUAUCAAGAGGAACACCUGAGGUGAAGACGGGUUGCUGGGCUGACACUGACGCUGAGGCGCGAAAGCCAGGGGAGCAAACGGG
rnacentral:rRNA from 1 species